CAGCAGCCGCGGUAAUACGUAGGGUGCGAGCGUUAAUCGGAAUUACCGGGCGUAAAGCGUGCGCAGGCGGUUCGUUAAGACAGAUGUGAGAUCCCCGGGCUUAACCUGGGAACUGCAUUUGUGACUGGCGAGCUAGAGUAUGGCAGAGGGGGGUAGAAUUCCACGUGUAGCAGUGAAAUGCGUAGAGAUGUGGAGGAAUACCGAUGGCGAAGGCAGCCCCCUGGGCCAAUACUGACGCUCAUGCACGAAAGCGUGGGGAGCAAACAGGAUUAGAUACCCCUGUAGUCCCUGUCUCUUAUAA
rnacentral:rRNA from 1 species